rnacentral:rRNA from 1 species
GAUGAACGCUGGCGGCGUGCCUAAUACAUGCAAGUCGAGCGAAGCGGGGACGGGUGAGUAACACGUGGAUAACCUCCUAUAAGACUGGGAUAACUUCGGGAAACCGGUGCUAAACCGGCUACUUAUAGAUGGUUCCGCGUUGCAGUAGGUAGUUGGUAAGGUAACGGCUUACCAAGGCCACGAUGCAUAGCCGAGCUGAGAGGAUGAGCGGCCACACUGGAACUGAGACACGGUCCAGACUCCUACGGGAGGCAGCAGUAGGGAAUCUUCCGCAAUGGGCGAAAGCCUGACGGAGCCACGCCGCGUGAAUGAAGAAGGUCUUCGGAUCGUAAAACUCUGUUAGUAGGGAAGCGGUACCUAAUCAAGAAGCAACGGCUAACUACGUGCAAGCAGCCGCGGUAAUAC